rnacentral:rRNA from 1 species
GGUGGGGUAACGGCUCACCUAGGCGACGAUCCCUAGCUGGUCUGAGAGGAUGACCAGCCACACUGGAACUGAGACACGGUCCAGACUCCUACGGGAGGCAGCAGUGGGGAAUAUUGCACAAUGGGCGCAAGCCUGAUGCAGCCAUGCCGCGUGUAUGAAGAAGGCCUUCGGGUUGUAAAGUACUUUCAGCGGGGAGGAAGGGAGUAAAGUUAAUACCUUUGCUCAUUGACGUUACCCGCAGAAGAAGCACCGGCUAACUCCGUGCCAGCAGCCGCGGUAAUACGGAGGGUGCAAGCGUUAAUCGGAAUUACUGGGCGUAAAGCGCACGCAGGCGGUUUGUUAAGUCAGAUGUGAAAUCCCCGGGCUCAACCUGGGAACUGCAUCUGAUACUGGCAAGCUUGAGUCUCGUAGAGGGGGGUAGAAUUCCAGGUGUAGCGGUGAAAUGCGUAGAGAUCUGGAGGAAUACCCGGUGGCGAAGGCGGCCCCCUGACGAAGACUACG